rnacentral:lncRNA from 1 species
GAUUGUUUGGGUACUUAGUGACCAAGCUAUCAAAGAUAAGUAUGUGAUAAUCAAUGGUGAGAAUGCCUUGGGUUCUUGCUUGACUAAUUCAGUUCUAAUCAACCUAUUCUAUCCACAAAACUCUGAGUCUCUCCUUGAUGUUCUAGCCUAAUCAAUCAUCUAUCGAUGCCUCGCAUAGACAAUCCUCUCAAGCCAAAAGAUAGGCACAAUUCCUUGAUAAACUAAACAUUUGCUAAAGGAAUUAAGCAUGCAAUUCA